AUACAUACGUAUCUAUGACAUACGACAAAAACGUCAGACGAACCAAAAUGUAAAAACAAAAGUUAAGAAUCGUAAUAUGAUCGUAAUGAAUUAUUUCAUUGUCAGUUAAAGUGUCAUAAAAUUAAUUAUAUUGUGUAGCUCAUUAUUGCAAUGUAAGCUUCAAAUGUAUGUAAUCAUAGUGGGAUGCAAUUGAAUAGCUACGGCUAGACAUCAAUAAACACUUCAAUACAAUUUAGUGGUGUCUGGUGUUAUGAUAAUGAAAAAAUUUAGCAAUGUGGGCAUUUUAAAAUUAAAAUGUGUACUUUUUAAAUAAAACAUCGAUUUUUACUGAUUGUGGGACUAAGUUUAUAAACGAGAAGUAUAAUUGACCAGUAUUGUAAAACAGAGUAUUUUUAAACAAUGAAUAAUCGUGACACUCCAUUUGGAAUUAUAUGCAUA